CGGCGUGGCGUUGGCGCGCGGGAGCGCGCUGCCAAGCGUGGAGGAUCGGCGAGGCGCGAAACAGAACGCCUCAUCUCCGCACGUCGUGACUGCGAGGGCUGUGCUCUGCCCUAAUGCCUGCUUGCCUUUUCGUUGCCAGCAGGCUUUGUUUAAAAUCAAAACGCACAAGUGCUCCAGAGCUCCCCAAGCCUGACUUCCCGGUUCAUUAGAGCUAAGCUCAGUUGCCUAAUUGAUCCCAGCUACUUGAGUGAUACCUUUCUUCUCCGCGCGUUCAGCUUUCGACUGCUCGUGAUCCCUGCUGAGGGAAAGCUGACUGAAGUGACGUAGUGCCGUCUGAUCUCUUGUUGUCUGUCAUCCUGGGGAAAAAACUACCAGGAGGCGUCCGAGUGAUUACCUGGCGAAGCUUAAAUACCAAUGGUUUCCAAACUGUGUGUGCAAAUAAUAGCAUCUGAAGCCAUUCUUACCCUCCUUAAAAUAAGAUGGCACAGAGGCAAAAGGUGCUGGAAUAAACCAGGUCAAGUCAGCAGAGCAGUCAGACAAUUGUAAAGUUGUGGUUUCAUUACGGGACGAGUAAGGACAUGAUGCUGAUAGUGACUCAGGAAUUAUUUUGCAACCCAUGCUGCACUGCAGAUGCUGAUUAGAAAUAACCCUCAAAAACUUUAAACUGUAAUUAGAUGUGAAAUAAUCAUAUAAACCUCGAGACGUCUAUGAAAUAGUGUGUAAGUGGUAUUAAUGUGGUGAUUGUGUAGUAAAUUGCAAUUGAGAACUACGGACAGGAGUUGCUGAAGUGCUUUUAAGUUGCAUAAUAAACAUAUGAAAUUAAGCA
rnacentral:lncRNA from 1 species